GGUUUUAACCCAGUAUCUCAAGGUACGCUUGGGCAUCUGACCAGACAAUCUCUGUGUUAGAGAACCAUCAGUUUUUGGGCAGCUCUAGCGGGGGACCUCCCGAGAGCAA
rnacentral:sRNA from 1 species